rnacentral:rRNA from 1 species
UACAGAGGUCCCAAGCGUUGUUCGGAUUCACUGGGCGUAAAGGGUGAGUAGGCGGUCGGGUAAGUCUGAUGUGAAAUCUCACAGCUUAACUGUGAAACUGCAUUGGAUACUAUUCGGCUUGAGAGUUGGAGGGGGGACUGGAAUUCUUGGUGUAGCAGUGAAAUGCGUAGAUAUCAAGAGGAACACCAGUGGCGAAGGCGAGUCCCUGGACAACUUCUGACGCUGAGGCACGAAAGCUAGGGGAGCAAACAGG